rnacentral:rRNA from 1 species
UACGUAGGGGGGCAAGCGUUGUCCGGAAUCAUUGGGCGUAAAGCGCGUGUAGGCGGCCCGAUAAGUCCGCUGUGAAAAGUCCAGGGCUCAACCCUGGGAUGCCGGUGGAUACUGUCGGGCUCGAGUCCGGAAGAGGCGAGUGGAAAUUCCGUAGUGUAGCGGUGAAAUGCGCAGAUAUCAGGAGGAACACCGAUGGCGGAAGGCA